rnacentral:rRNA from 1 species
GUGGGGAAUUUUGCGCAAUGGGGGAAACCCUGACGCAGCAACGCCGCGUGGGUGAUGAAGGCUUUCGGGUCGUAAAGCCCUGUCGGAUGGAAAGAAUCGACUGGUGUUAAUAGCUCCAGUUUUGACGGUACCAUCAAAGGAAGUCACGGCUAACUCUGUGCCAGCAGCCGCGGUAAUACAGAGGUGACAAGCGUUGUUCGGAAUUAUUGGGCGUAAAGCGCGUGUAGGCGGUUUGUUAAGUCAGAUGUGAAAGCCCAGGGCUUAACCCUGGAAGUGCAUUUGAAACUGUCGAACUUGAGUACGGGAGAGGGUAGUGGAAUUCCGAGUGUAGAGGUGAAAUUCGUAGAUAUUCGGAGGAACACCGGUGGCGAAGGCGGCUACCUGGACCGAUACUGACGCUGAGACGCGAAAGCGUGGGGAGCAAACAGGAUUAGAAACCCUAGUAGUCC